rnacentral:tRNA from 1 species
GUGGGGUUGUGGCUCAGUGGUAGAGCACUUGCCUAGCACAUGUGAGGCACUGGGUUCGAUUCUCAGCACCACA